UACAGAGGGUGCAAGCGUUAAUCGGAAUUACUGGGCGUAAAGCGUGCGUAGACGGUUGCGUAAGUCAGAUGUGAAAGCCCCGGGCUCAACCUGGGAAUUGCAUUUGAGACUGCGUAGCUAGGGUGCGGAAGAGGGAAGCGGAAUUUCCGGUGUAGCGGUGAAAUGCGUAGAUAUCGGAAGGAACACCAGUGGCGAAAGCGGCUCACUGGACCGGAACUGACGCUGAGGCGCGAAAGCGUGGGGAGCAAACAGG
rnacentral:rRNA from 1 species